rnacentral:rRNA from 1 species
GUCUAUGGCCAUACCACCCUGAGCAAGCCCAGGGAAGCUAAGCAGGGUUGGGCCUGGUUAGCAUUUGGGUAGGAGACCACCUAGGAAGAACAGGAGCUGUAGGCA